CCUACGGGACGCAGCAGUAGGGAAUCUUCGGCAAUGGACGAAAGUCUGACCGAGCAACGCCGCGUGAGUGAAGAAGGUUUUCGGAUCGUAAAACUCUGUUGGUAGAGAAGAACGUUGGUGAGAGUGGAAAGCUCAUCAAGUGACGGUAACUACCCAGAAAGGGACGGCUAACUACGUGCCAGCAGCCGCGGUAAUACGUAGGUCCCGAGCGUUGUCCGGAUUUAUUGGGCGUAAAGCGAGCGCAGGUGGUUUAUUAAGUCUGGUGUAAAAGGCAGUGGCUCAACCAUUGUAUGCAUUGGAAACUGGUAGACUUGAGUGCAGGAGAGGAGAGUGGAAUUCCAUGUGUAGCGGUGAAAUGCGUAGAUAUAUGGAGGAACACCGGUGGCGAAAGCGGCUCUCUGGCCUGUAACUGACACUGAGGCUCGAAAGCGUGGGGAGCAAACAGGAUUAGAUACCCCAGUAGUCCUUAAU
rnacentral:rRNA from 1 species